GAGGAGAAAAACAGCAGAGCAGAUCACAAGGAAGAUCAACACACACCGACUGAAAUCUGUGACAGAGGAUAUUCUUUGUUGGUGAUUCUGGGGCUGAAACAGUGGAUGUUCCAUUCCAUGUGGAUGAAGCUCCCUCGUCUUGACCGAGACGUCUCCCGUCUGACAGCGAUGACGCAAGAGGGAGGGUGACAGGUCUCAAGCCUUUAACAAGUCUCUACAUUUAUGCUCCUGUUAGUGAAAGGACAGUGAAGAUAUGACAGGAGGUGAGUGGGAGAGAGAGAUGAGGAGCAGGAGAGAGAGAUGACCUCAGGCCGGACUCAAACCUGGGUCGUCGUGGGCACUGGACCCGUCUGUGGUGUGGGAUACUGAUGCUACCGCUGUGCCAAUGGCUCCCCCUAUGUCCGUGCACUUCAAUGAAACUCAGCUGUACUGAACUUCAUCACCUCAGUGACUUAAAUUAUGUAAAACUUGACAUUCUCCCUGUUGGAUAUGGCUACACUGAGGACAUUUAAGAGAUAAUGAGAUGGCUGACUAUGGAGAUCUAUGUGAUUUGUGAAACGGACAACAGACAAAACAGAAGUUGUGUACAUGAGGAUUUACACUGACGGCUCUCAUAUUUAAACACUUUGGAGGGUUACACAAUCAAACUAUAUAACCACCAAAGUGGAUCUUCUGACAAAAUCCUAUAUUUAUCACCAUUAAUCUAACCCAUGGUUAAGGGGCGUUACAGUACACAUAUAGCCUAUUUGUCAUCCUACAAGCUGACUUCAGUGAGUGAGGGAGAGAGAGGGAGAGAGAGAGAGAGCAGAGGGUGAGAGAGAGGGAGA